GACGAACGCUGGCGGCGUGCUUAACACAUGCAAGUCGAACGGAAAGGCCCCCUUGUGGGGUACUCGAGUGGCGAACGGGUGAGUAACACGUGAGUAACCUACCCUUGACUUUGGGAUAACUUCAGGAAACUGGGGCUAAUACCGGAUAGGAGCUCCUGCUGCAUGGUGGGGGUUGGAAAGUUUCGGCGGUUGGGGAUGGACUCGCGGCUUAUCAGCUUGUUGGUGGGGUAGUGGCUCACCAAGGCUUUGACGGGUAGCCGGCCUGAGAGGGUGACCGGCCACAUUGGGACUGAGAUACGGCCCAGACUCCUACGGGAGGCAGCAGUGGGGAAUAUUGCACAAUGGGCGGAAGCCUGAUGCAGCAACGCCGCGUGCGGGAUGACGGCCUUCGGGUGUUAACCGCUUUCGCCUGUGACGAAGCGUGAGUGACGGUAAUGGGUAAAGUAAGGACACCGGACUAA
rnacentral:rRNA from 1 species